UACGUAGGGGGCAAGCGUUGUCCGGAUUCAUUGGGCGUAAAGAGCGUGUAGGCGGCCAGGUAGGUCGGUUGUGAAAACUGGAGGCUCAACCUUCAGAGGUCGACCGAAACCAUCUGGCUAGAGUCCGGGAGAGGAGAGUGGAAUUCCUGGUGUAGCGGUGAAAUGCGCAGAUAUCAGGAGGAACACCGGUGGCGAAGGCGGAUCUCUGGGCCUUACCUGACGCUGAGGCGCGAAAGCUAGGGGAGCGAACAGG
rnacentral:rRNA from 1 species